AGAGCUGCGUAGCUGUCAAAGCACCAUACAGACAAUAAAUGAAAACCUCAAAGCAAAAGAGAAAGAGUUGAGAAUCUUCCAAGACACAUUAAGAGAUUCAGAUAAAACGAAGAAAG